rnacentral:lncRNA from 1 species
AGAUCCGUUAAAUUUUAAUUUAUAAAUAUAGUUUUAUGAUGGAAAAAAAAAUAUUAAGGGCGGUUUGGUUGUAUGUAUUUCUAACUGCACUGCAGUUAGAAAUGCAUGCAUCUAUUAAAUUUUUAUUUGGCUUGGUGUAGUUAGGCCCAACUGCUGCAAUUGCAUCUGCACAAGAAGGCCCAACUGUAGCAGUUGGUACUGCAGCCAAAUUAGCUGCAGUACCAGCAGUUGGGCCGGAGUAGGCUCACCCAUUAAAAAAAAAAAUAAAGUGUGAUUUUUUUUUUUUUUCAUACGCUUUUUUUCAAUUUGCUAUUUUAAUAAUAUCUUAAUUUUUAUUUUUGACCAAAUUUAUAAUAUAUUUGCAUUUAAAAUUUAUUAAACUCAUACAUAAUUUUAUAAUAUAUAAAUUAUAUAUAGAUAUAAAAGUCUUAAUUAAUAAUUAAAACAUGAUUACGUUAUGCUCAGAAAAGUUAAUAUCACUUUCUAUCUAAAAAUUGACAAAAUUUAUAAAUACAAAUCUCAACUACAGACUACAAAAUAGAAAAAAUAUAACUGCAGCAGUUGCAACUGUAUAAAACCAAACAAACUAAAAGUGUAAUUAUUACUGCAGUAUUUACAACUGUAUGUAUUUUUAACUACACUAUUUUUUUAACUACAUCCAACCAAACGACCCCUCAGUGAAAGCGAUAAAUGAUUCACUGCAUUCAUUACAUUUUUUACGAUCUUAUAAAAGGGAUGAAUGGUUCACCGCUUUUAAAAACGGUAAAUCAUUCACUACUUGCUUCUUUUUUCUACUCCUUUCUAUAUUUCUACGACGGUUUUAGGAGGAGUUAUGAAUGCGGUGAAUGAUUCACCACACCGCCCAUAUUAUUUAUUUUUCAAAAUCUCAAUCUGAUGUAUUAGAGAUUUAUUUUUAUAAUUAAUUUUUUUAAAAUUUUUUUUUUUAUAAUUAUAAAAAUCGGU